rnacentral:lncRNA from 1 species
GAACAGGGGCGACCUGCAAGUUAGCACUCCAACGUUCAAGUCAACAAGAUAUCACAAAACAAUCGUGAAUCAAAUUGCUAUUACUUUACUUGAGUUGUGCUCUCCCUAUUUAUAGAAAAAUGAUUCCACCAAAAUAGGAGCCACGUAAGAAUAAGGUCAACUUCCACUUAACUCCUUCCGCAAUAUUCGCUUUCCAGUUGCAACUGCCUCCCAACACCUAGAUCUUUCCUCCGCAACAUUUGCACACUACCUCCACUAACUAUUCCCAGUUCUCCACUAACUAUUCCCAGUUGCCACUGUAUUCACCCUCCUUCCCUAUCGGUGGGGGGGCCUCUCCCGAUCAUCCUGAUACUUUACCCGAUCCACCUGAUCCCCCCUUUACUACAUAAGCCCCUCGAGCCCCAAGCUAUAACAAUAGCGUAGGGGUUUUAAUAUAAUCAUAACUGUUGAAACGUUUCAACUGAAAGAUGGCUUUUUUCAUCCCCACGAUGGAAAGCUACGAAGGGUUCAG